CCUACGGGAGGCAGCAGUGAGGAAUAUUGGUCAAUGGCCGAAAGGCUGAACCAGCCAAGUCGCGUGAGGGACGACUGCCCUAUGGGUUGUAAACUUCUUUUAUAAGGGAAUAAUAAAUGCUACGUGUAGCAUUAUGCCUGUACCUUAUGAAUAAGGAUCGGCUAACUCCGUGCCAGCAGCCGCGGUAAUACGGAGGGUGCGAGCGUUAUCCGGAUUUAAUGGGUUUAAAGGGAGCGUAGGGGGGUUUUUAAGUCAGUUGUUAAACCUUCGGGGUUAACCGUUGAUUUGCCAUUGAUACUGGCAGACUGGAGUUCAGAAGAGGUAGGCGGAAUAAGUGGAGUAGCGGUGAAAUGCUUAGAUAUCACUAAGAACUCCGAUAGCGAAGGCAGCUUACCAGACUGCGACUGACGCUGAGGCACGAAAGCGUGGGUAGCGAACAGGAUUAGAUACCCGGGUAGUC
rnacentral:rRNA from 1 species